UUUAUGGAGAGUUUGAUCCUGGCUCAGGAUGAACGCUGGCGGCGUGCCUAAUACAUGCAAGUCGAGCGAACAGAUAAGGAGCUUGCUCCUUUGACGUUAGCGGCGGACGGGUGAGUAACACGUGGGUAACCUACCUAUAAGACUGGGAUAACUUCGGGAAACCGGAGCUAAUACCGGAUAAUAUUUCGAACCGCAUGGUUCGAUAGUGAAAGAUGGUUUUGCUAUCACUUAUAGAUGGACCCGCGCCGUAUUAGCUAGUUGGUAAGGUAACGGCUUACCAAGGCGACGAUACGUAGCCGACCUGAGAGGGUGAUCGGCCACACUGGAACUGAGACACGGUCCAGACUCCUACGGGAGGCAGCAGUAGGGAAUCUUCCGCAAUGGGCGAAAGCCUGACGGAGCAACGCCGCGUGAGUGAUGAAGGUCUUCGGAUCGUAAAACUCUGUUAUUAGGGAAGAACAUACGUGUAAGUAACUGUGCACGUCUUGACGGUACCUAAUCAGAAAGCCACGGCUAACUACGUGCCAGCAGCCGCGGUAAUACGUAGGUGGCAAGCGUUAUCCGGAAUUAUUGGGCGUAAAGCGCGCGUAGGCGGUUUUUUAAGUCUGAUGUGAAAGCCCACGGCUCAACCGUGGAGGGUCAUUGGAAACUGGAAAACUUGAGUGCAGAAGAGGAAAGUGGAAUUCCAUGUGUAGCGGUGAAAUGCGCAGAGAUAUGGAGGAACACCAGUGGCGAAGGCGACUUUCUGGUCUGUAACUGACGCUGAUGUGCGAAAGCGUGGGGA
rnacentral:rRNA from 1 species